UUAGAAUUAUUGACACUUAAACUUGUAGUCAUUGUAGAAAUAUUGCUUCAUGUCUGCCCAGCGGAAACAGAUUGUGUGCAGAAAUGCAAUCAUAGGGACUGCAAUUUACAGU